rnacentral:rRNA from 1 species
GCGUAGGGUAUGUAGGUGGUGAAAGUCGGUGUAAAUUAAAUCCUGGGUAGCAACCCUUGUCUGUUUACGACCAUAUUUCACUAGAAUCUGAGAGAGGUUUUGGUAGGAUCAUGAAGACGUUAAAUGUGAGAUAUGUUUGGGACCGACAUUGGCGAAAGCAAACUCCUAGUCCAGUAUUGAGCUAAGGUACGAAGGCAGGUCAGUGAAACGGAUUAGAUACCCGUGUAAUCCGUGCUGUAACGCUGAGAUUUCAAUAUUAGGGUUAUGAUAUGUAUCUUUUUGGUAUUAUUAUUAUUCUUUAGAUAUCUUAAGAUAUUUAAAUUGUUUUUAAUAAAAUAAUUUAUAUGAUUAUAAGUUAAAUUAAUAAAAAUAAAAAUAAUAGCUUAAAAUUAUUUAAAAAAUCGUGGGGAAAAUAAUAGCUUAAAAUUAUUUAAAAAAUCGUGGGGAAAAUAAUUUGAAGCAACCUAUUCAAAAAUUUUAAUUACAUUGAAAUUUAUGAAUAAAAGAUGAAAAUAAUGUUAAAGAAAUUUAACAGUUUUCUUGAGUGAGAAAUUUUUUUCUCUUUCAUAUACAGUGUUCUCUGGUGUUUGAGUAACGCGUUAAAUUCUCCGCUGGGAAGUACGGCCGCAGGUUGAAACUCAAAAGAAUUGAGGUGACUUGUACGAGG